UACAGAGGUCUCAAGCGUUGUUCGGAUUCAUUGGGCGUAAAGGGUGCGUAGGCGGCGCGGUAAGUCGGGUGUGAAAUCUCGGGGCUUAACUCCGAAACUGCAUUCGAUACUACCGUGCUUGAGGACUGGAGAGGAGACUGGAAUUUACGGUGUAGCGGUGAAAUGCGUAGAUAUCGUAAGGAAGACCAGUGGCGAAGGCGGGUCUCUGGACAGUUCCUGACGCUGAGGCACGAAGGCGAGGGGAGCAAACGGG
rnacentral:rRNA from 1 species